CCCAGCUCACUCUCAUCUUUCCCUCUUGCAGGUCUCUCUCUCUCUUCACUCAUUCUCCCUCAAUUCCUCACCUCUCUCGUUCCUCUUCUCCCUCUGCAAUUACAAACCAGGAUUAUAGCACCAUGGAAACUCAUGCAAAAGCUUGGAGAAAUCUGGCAAGCUUCUUGACCUCCCGACGUGUGGGGUUUGUGAACAACGUGAUUGCGAUGGAACGAAGAAGAAAACCGAAAUCUAGAUUCCCGACGAGAACCGUGGGUUUCAAAAGACUUUUCUAGCCACCUCUGGCCACUACUUGGAAAACCAAAGGUGAUGUAGGGCGUACGGACGAAUGAUACUCAUAUAUAACUUUGGCGGGGCGUAGGUUGGUGGCUUCGGCCGAAAGAUAUUUAUAUUUGGCUUCAACCGAGCAUGUGUAGGUGGCUUUGGCUGGAAGAUAUUUAUAUAUGGCUUCGACCAGGCGUGUGUAGGUGGCUUCGAUUGGAAGAGUUUUAUAUGCCUUCGGGUGAGUAAGGAAUUCUAUAUGCCUUCGGGCAUGAGAUGAUACCACUACUAAGCACACUAUAUGAUAUAUGUUUUAUGAAGGUUUUAUGGCACGCUAGGGUUUUCAAAAAACCUAUUACAUAUUAUACUAUUGAGUUUUCAUAAACGUUGGGGGUUAGUACGUUGAUGAAUAAUUGUUUUCAUAUUACUUAUAUAUCAACUUGGUCCAAUCAUGUUUUGUUUUGUGCCCCCUUAGGACUUAGAAUCAAGGUGUACAAUCUCGGCAUCAAGACACUCCCGCAUCGGCAUCUUCGAGUCUUCUCCGUGCAGGACCCAUCUCCUUGUUCAUUCAAUUUUAUGUUAUUCCUUUUUAGUGUCUUGGAUUAGUUAUAUGCUUUGAACACGUUCCACAAUUGCAUAUUUAUUAUAGUUAAAUUUACAAGUUUUAUUUAUGUUAGCUAUUUCUUUCUAGUUCUCAUGCAUUCUAAUAUGGUUUCAUUAUUUUCGAGUGUCGGGCAGCACAUGCCUACCUUGGUAUUUAGAGGAUAUCAAGGUCGGGCAUGUCAUGCAAUUGUCACAAUCUCUUUCUUUCUUUUCUCCUUUUUCCUUUGAUCGUACCUUUUUAAGACCAAUCCCCUAUUUCCUCUAUCCUUUUUGACCUAUUCCCCCUCUUUGACCCACCCCCUCCAUCAUCUGGAUCAUUUGGUCCCACCAUCCAUCCUCCAUCUUUGACCCAUCCCUUUAUCUUCAUUUUCGGUUGGUUAUCAUCUCCUUUUUCCAUAAUUUGUCUUGGAUCUUUGGGAUGGUGUGUAGCGCUUUAGCUCAGAUGUUCACACCACCACCCUUGUUAACCAUUAUUGGUCCUUCUUGUAGUUUUCCCUUGCCAGUGUUGGUGCUCAUGGGUUCUUUCUGCGUGCUUCCUUGUUCUCUUAACAGUGAUUUUUGCUGGUAUUUUGAGGACGUUAUGGCUUUUUUCUUAACCAUUUCUGGGGUUCUUGAUGGUGUCAUCUUAAGUGAUCAUAAUAGGCUUCACGUGAGGAUGUUUGGGUGGCUCUCCGAUGUUAGCGUCGGCGUCUGCAACUUCAGGAAGACUAGCUUUUUAGGGUUUUUUGGUGUGGUUUGUUUGUGUAUACUGAGCUCCAAGGUUAGGCUUUGGACUUUGUCUUCUGUGUGUUUGUGGUCCCUUUUUGUUUAUGCAUAACUUGUACAUGGGCCUUUGUUGUA